AGCGAACGCUGGCGGCAGGCCUAACACAUGCGAGUCGAACGGCAGCACAGUAACCGCUUGCUCUCACGGGUGUCGAGUGGCGGAAGGGUCCGGUAUACAUCGGAAUCUUCUCCUCCGUGGGGGAUAACGAAGGGCAAAUUACGCCAAUACCGCAUACGACCUACGGGUGACAGCAGGCGAUCUUCGGACCUUGUGCGACUGAAUGAGCCGAUGUCGGAUUAGCUAGCUGGCGGGGCAAAGGCCGACAAAGGCGCCGAUCGGUAGCUGGUCCGAACGGAUGAUCAGCCACACUGGAUGUGAGGCUCGGUCCAGACUCCGACGGGGAGAAGCGGUGGGGAAUAUUGGGCGAUGGACGCAAGCCUAAUCCAGCCAUACCGCGUGAAGGAAGAAGGCCUUCGGGUGGGAGAGCCCUUUAGGUGGGAGAGAAGUACAGCAGGUUAAUACCCCACGAUUCUGACGGUACCCGAAGAAUAAGCACCGGCUAACUUCGUG
rnacentral:rRNA from 1 species